UAAAAUGAGGCCAAUCCAGUUGGACUUUAAUCCCGUUUACCUGCUGCCCCUGCUUUCAUCACCAUGAAACUGCCUUGCUGUAGCUGAGGGGUGACAAAUACUCCAUUCCCCCCGCCCCCCCCCCCACCCCCCGUUCCACAACUCCAGCCAUUACUAAUGCAACCAACGUGCUGCCCAGGCGCAUGCGCAGUGGCGCCGGCGUACUUCGUGCUGCCGGCGCACGAUUACAAACCCGUACGGGGUGGGGGGAGGAAAUCAUUCCGCGCAUGCGUAGUUGCGUCAAGCUGCUCUCUGCUGCCCUCGCUUGAUCGCACGCCAGUACUGCAGCCCGCCGAGGAAACGCAUGCGCAAUGCCGCCAUCGUGCUCCCCGCUGCCCUCGCAUGAUCACAACCCAGGACUGCAGCCGGUCGGCGUGCACAUGCGCAGUGCUGCUCGCUGGCUUCCGUGCGGCUCUCCGGCGUUUCGGUAACGGGUGAGGGGAUUGGCCGUGCUCGUCGCCCCCUCCCAGUGCUCAUGGACGGUCGCGCAGAGGGCUUUUCGUUAUCUGUGCGUCCUGGGGGCGCGGGGACGGGCAGUGCCGUCUCGGAGCUGCUCCGCGGCGCUCUCUCCUCGGGGCAGCCCCAGCGCCUGCUCGCUGCUCCCGGGCGCGGGCAGAGCAGCCUCGGGGCACUCGCUGUGAGCCCCGCGGGGCUGCGGUUCCCCCGCGGGAGCCGGCCGGCUGCAGCGCCGUGCUGCGAGCGCGUGAGGCCGCCCUUGCGGGUCUCGCCGCCCUCCUGCUCCCCCCGCCAGGCCCCUCCCGCGGGGUCCUUCGUCGGCGCAUGCGCGGUGCUCGAGUGCCAGGGCCCUGCUGCGGCUGCGCUCCUUUCGCCGCCAGCGCAUGCGCGGCGGCGGGGAGCAGCAUGGCGGCAAGCAGGGACGGAGUUUUCGCUGGGCAGCGGCGGGUGAGGGCUGAGGACCACCUGGAGUCGAGCAUGUGGGGGGCUCCGGUGAGGAGAGCGCGUAUAGUUGGGUGGUCGCGGGGGUUGGACUGUGUCCUGCCCGCUGAGGCCGUCGCUGCGUGGAGGCGGCGGUGCGGGGCGAGGGGACGGGGGGCUCGGGCCCAGCUCCGCACCGCGCCGCGCCGGGAGCACGGGGCAGGGUCUGCGCGAGGCAGGGUCUGCCUGAGCGUGGGUCUGACUCUCCCUUUUCCAUGUGUCGUCGCCUGUAGGGUCCCGGUUCCUCCCCAGCGUGGGCCGGGCUAUGCGCUCGCCCCUGCGGACACAGCCUGGAGGAGCGGGGGAGGGCAGGCGGGCCCCGGAGCAGGAUCGGGGCACGGCGUCCGCGGGGGGACGGCUCCUGUUGCAGCAGGCGUGCCCGAGAGUGCUGCUAAGUCACAAGGAAGUUUAAAACCUCCGGACCAAACAGGAUUAAGGUCCAUUUGAGUCAGGUACAAUUAGCACAGCCCCAAGUUAUUUACUUGAGAAUUGUCACUAGGUGAGCUAGAAGUUGGAUAGAAGAAAGACACUCCCAGGUGCCCUGAGGCUUCCCCCACCCCCAGGCACAGACUGUGGGCACCAGCCAACCUGGGCACCAACUGACUGAAACCUCCACUGAGCCUCACUGAGUUCUGCUCCCUCCUGUACAGCUGCCCCAAAGCCAUGGGCUUCCCCGGUGCAGCAUGUGUCGAUGGGUCCUCCAUCGCCUCUGACGUUUCCCCAGGCACUCGUACGCUACACAGGGGUCUGGAUGUCUCCAGCAGUGGCACAGCAGCCUGAUGCCUCCUCUUGUCUGGGGCAUGGGGUCCUUCACAGCUCUUCUGGGAUAUGGGGCUCUUGGUGAGUUGGCUGCUUAGUCUAACUUCCCUGUCACGGCAAGCCCGACUGUCGCCGUAGCUUCCAAACCAGGGGCUGGGGGAAGCGAUAUUCGUGGCUCGCGUAUUCUCAUUUACCUUGCUUGUUUGCAUAUUAGAUCCACUUUUGUGCUUACAGACAACUUUGGAUUCUUACAAUUUUCUGCAGAGCUUUGAUUUUUUUUUUUUCUUCUUUCUUUGCUCUGUACUUUUGCAGGGCGAUGGAUUUUACUCUGCCUCCAUCAACAGGCGCUGGCUGGCAAAGUCGUCGUGUCCCAGCGGAGACUCUUAGGCAGGACGGGAGGAGUUUGGAUCCGCAGCCUGCCAGAAGAGCGUCGCCCGGGAGGGGUCGCUUGAGCUCUAGGCGCUGGCGUUCGGAACCUCGGGGAACAGCUGUAUGCUGCUGUGAAGAGCUACAGGCUACCACCGCCCUCAGACCUUUGUAAGUUGUCACAUGUCAAGAGUGGCCGGGAGAAUCCAAAUGUCAGCGGGAAGGUUCUCCGCCUGGUCCUGAUGAGGAGCCUUUGGCCGUAGGAAGGUUGGCCGCGUCCCUACCAGACUUGAUACUGUCCUGAGGGCUGGCAGCUUGAAGAGGAGCAGCUCAGCCCGUUUUUGUUGGUUUUGGUGAUGCUGUUUUGAGGAAGCAUGUAAGUACAGAAGGGGUCUGGGAGGGUUUUUCAAACAAGAUGGGAAAGAGCAAGGAAGAUUUGAGGGUGUGGAAAAACUAGGUGCCACAGGUGCUGAAGUUGUUAAGGGCAUUUGAGGUUAAGCGUCUGAAAGGGGCUAAUGCGCACGGAAUAGUAAAAUACCAUGACCGAACGCAGGGUUCCUCCCCGGCCUGUGCCCACGCCCUUGCUCUUGCAGACGCCCUGGAGCCACAGGGAAACGGGCAAGCAGGCCCACGAGCGGGCUUUGGGCACAGUGGUGUGCAGUGAGCUCUGCGUGCUCGGCAGAUGAGUGGGGUCGGAGCGUGGCGAGGGCUGUUGCGGGCUGUCUGGAUCUGGAUCCAUCUGGUUCCGCUCCCUGUCCCUCUGUCCAGCGCUCCAUCCUUUCCUUUCUUUCCCCAUGGCUCCAUCCAGUGCCCCAUCCCUUCGUUUAGCCACUCCUUCCUCUGCCUGGCUCCCCAUCCCGCUUUUACUCUUUUCAUCCCUCUGUCAGUGUCUCCAUCCCUCUAACUGGCUCCCUAUUGCUCUAUCCAGCUCUUCAUCGUCCUCUUCCUCUCCCUAUCCCACUACCUGCCCACUGUCCUUCCGUGCUGCUCCUCGUCCCUCUGCCGCUCGUCUGCCUCUCCAUACUUCUCUUUGCCUUCCCAGCUCUCUGUCCACCCCUCCAGCCUUCUCUUUCUAUUUCCAUCCCUCUGUUCAGCUCCUCACCCAUCUAUUUGCCUCCCUCUCCCUCUUUUCCCCUGUUCUAUCCCAUCUCUCUAUCUGAAUUCCCCUCCCUCUUUUUCUCUCCCUACCUUUCUGGCCAGCUCUUCAUCAUUCCCAUUCUCUUCCCAUUGCUCCAACCAGCUCCCUGUCGCUGUCUUCCCAUCCCCAUUCCUCUGCCUGGUUCUCCCCCCUUCUCUUUUGCUUCCUGUCCCUCUGCCCACCUCCCCUUCCCUCUUUUUCUCUCUUCUGCUCCCUGGUCCUCUGUGCAGCCCUCCCUCCAUCUGUGUGGCCCUCUCUCCCUCUCUUUCUAUUCCUUUGUCCAGCGUCCUGACCCUGGGGCCAGGUCUCUAUCCUUCUCUGUCUUUCUCCAUCCCUCUGCCAAGCUCUCUACCCCUCUUUUCUCCUGUUCUGCUCCCUGUCCCCAUGUCCAGCUGGAGGUCUGUCAUUGCUGUGUGUUUUGGCUGGUGUGGCGGGUGCCGAGAGGCGGUUGGCGCUCAGCAGAGCUGGUGAUCGGCAGCGCCCAGAGGGUGCCGUCGAUCGGCCUGGUUCGGGUCAUGGACACCUCUGCGGUGGCUCUGCCUGCGGAGGCGCGGGGCUGCGGGUGUGCAGCGGGGGAGCACUAGUGAGCUAGAGAUGCUGUGGGGUGUGUAGUCGACAACGAAGAGGCUCCCGGGAAAGGUGUUGCGGAGGCAGAGAGCAGCAGAGGCUCCGAGUCCUUGGGUGUUUGGACAGGUGCUCGUGGUAGGACGGUCUGGAGCUGCUGCUGUUGUCUGUCCUACUCGUCAGCGCGGUCUGCAGUUACGGCCUCUUGUCUGCCUGUGCGCAGUCAGGGCUGCUGCACGGUGCAGCUUGACUCGCGAUCGCGACGCUGGCAUCGAGCCCACUUUUCUGUCAGGUCUGCCUUUAUGCAAAGUAGUGUCUUCCCUAUGUCUACAGCUCAACCCGUGUUGUUGAUUUAAUGCUUCCUGAGGGGUGAUGCUGUGCUGUCAGCACCCCCCCUCCUCCACUGUCGCUUCCUGAUGAAGGAUGCUUUGAGUUUAUCUUAGUAAGUGCAGUCGUUUAUGUAGCUUCUGGCUCGUUUCUUUCCUUGGAACUCCUUGCUCUUUGCUGUUCUGGUCCCUCCAAACAAUUUCUGCUUCUAGUAUUAUUAAUGCUGGGCCGUAAACCUUCCAGAGCUUCCUUCUUUGAAGUCCAGGAGUUCAAGGAGUUCCAGUAUUGUUUGCACUUUGAGAGUAAAGGUACUUCACAGCUGAUGUCUUAAGUAUGCAACUGUCUUACCUGGGAUUUUUGUUUUUGCAAGUUACUGUUUCUUUCAGGAGCCAGCUACAACAGUAACUUCUCUGCUAUAGCAGAGAAAUGGGGUUACGUGUGUAUGAGCAACAGUGUCGUAGUACACAGCAAAACCAUAAUCUACAGUACUGGUAGCAUGAAUCAGUUUCCCAUCAGCUCCGUCUCUCUGGAGUUUGGAGUUUUUGGAGGCCUUAGUUUUAUCCUGCCUUGGCUGGACAGUGCUUUCUCAGAAUGUCUGUCGGAGGCAGAGUUUCCCUGCGGAGGACCAUCUACGGAAGGCUGGAGGUGGCCGGGUGCCUGAGCGAGCCUGCCUGUCCGUGAGAGCUGCUGUGACAUCUUUGCGAUGAAAUUGAGCCAGAGAGGGUGACUGAAGCAGCACAGAGGGUCAGUCAUAAUUGUGGGAACAAUUACGGGCCUUGGACUAGGGAGUAGUUCUAGGAGGGCCGUGCAGUUGCCUGGCCUCUCAGUUCUGGCCUCUGCAGGUGCUGAAGCCCAGUCGGGCAGUCAAAGGAGCCUCGUCGCAGCCGGGAGCUCUGCGGAGAUGCGCGGCUGGCCGUGGAGGGUGAGCUCUGACUUGCAGCAGGGACACAGCUAAGUCCUGGGCUGCUGCAUCAUAUGCGAGCAGCACUGGAAGGUGCAAGGUGGUUGUCCCCUAAGUGGUUACUGGUGUCGCUGGCUGUGGAUGUUUGCCCACGGAGCUGAGAGGACCAAAAAUAUGAAUUGUCUGACACAGAGAUGAAUUAGUGCUUGCAGGCUUUCAGGUAGGUUCAGUGCAAGUGCAGCUUAGUGCAGUCCCGUGGAGUGACGCUUGCACAUGCUCACAUUUGAAUGGUGGCUAAAACCAAGCCUCUAAACAGCAACUGUAAUGUGAUUCUGGUGCAUGUCUUCCUGUUCUGCUGUGCUUCUAAAUGAAGGGAAAACUUAAGCUGUGGGCAAAACUCCUUGGCUUCUCUUUACUGUUUUCAUGCGCAUGGGUGCUUUGGUGUUUGUCGCUUAAAGCUGAGGGUUUGGAAUUUUUCACUUAAGGUUUAUUGUUUAGUUUGUUGUUGAGGGUCUCUCACUCGGGAGUUAUUGUUUAUUCCUUUCUUUUGUGGGGCUCAGUCUUUAUCAGUCAGUGUUUACAGUUUGCUCAUGUAGCGAUCAGGGCACAGGAUUUAAAAUCCAACCUCAUCCAUAAAUUUUAAAGCCUCGGCAAUCACUGGCGUUCCAAGACUUGCAGUUUGUCACUUAGCGUUCAGGGCUUAUGACCUGCUGAGCAAUGAGAAGGGCUAAAUCCUUAGAUAAUAAACUGUAAGCCCUGAAGCCUAAGCAGCAGGCUGCAAACCCUCCUUUGGGGUUUGUAACGUUCCCCUGUACCCAGCAUUCAGCUUUGUGCGCUGACCUGAGCUCUGGAUUUGAUAUGGCGCAGGCCGAUCACACUGAGACUGGCAAUGUGACAGGCGAGCUGAGAGCUGUGGAAGUGUCUUGCAGGGCUCUAGCCUGGGGUAGGGCAGAAGUGCAGACAGGCGAGAUCAGGCAUUUUCCUCUCAUCUCUGAGAUGAAUCCUAGCCCUGAAGGAAAAAGCAGAGGAGUAGGCUGUCGGCUACUCGGACAGCUGCCACGUCAAGGGCAGCAGCAGGAGCUGACCCUUUCCGACGGACGGAUGGACACUGGUGUGGUGAUGACUCUUCAGGCAUCACAGGUAAGGGGAAGCAUGCUGACACUGAGCUCCAUGGCAGACUCUCUUCCAGGUGUUGUUUCUGUGCAGUAAAACAAUAAAUAGUUGCCUUAUUCUUUGCA